rnacentral:rRNA from 1 species
UACGGAAGGCAGCAGGGGGAAUAUUGGACAAUGGGCGAAAGCCUGAUCCAGCCAUGCCGCAUGAGUGAAGAAGGCCUUCGGGUUGUAAAGCUCUUUUAGUGAGAAAGAUAAUGACGGUACUCACAGAAGAAGUCCUGGCUAACUCCGUGCCAGCAGCCGCGGUAAUACGGAGAGGGCUAGCGUUAUUCGGAAUUAUUGGGCGUAAAGAGCGCGUAGGCUGAUUAGUAAGUUAAAAGUGAAAUCCCAAAGCUUAAACUUUGGAAUUGCUUUUUAAAACUGCUAGUCUAGAGAUUGAAAGAGGAUAGAGGAAUUCCUAGUGUAGAGGUGAAAUUCGUAAAUAUUAGGAGGAACACCAGUGGCGAAGGCGUCUAUCUGGUUCAAAUCUGACGCUGAGGCGCGAAGGGCGUGGGGAGCAAACGAGGGAUUUAGAUACC